UGUGAGCUGCUGCUCGUUAUAACUGACUGCUCUAUCGGUCCCGAAUUAUUUCAUAUUUGCCUGUACAUUUUUUAUUUAUUUUGAGCGAAUUUGAGUCGUGACAUGUCAAUGGAGAACAAAAACUGUGAACACAAGAAGGGUCAGGUGUUCUGCGAGGUCCUGAAAACAUCCUGGCAAAAUGAGAGUCAUCAAGGAUCCAGCUUGUUCUUGAAACAUUGAAGUUUGCCCUCUGCAAGUGAACGACGCCUUGUGGUGCCAUCCCAAAGAGGUUCAAAAUCACUCUCACGGUCCUUUUCCUGGACUGUGCCCAGCUGCUGGAAUCACCUCCCAAUCUCAAUCCGAACUGCUGAGUCUUUACUCAUUUUCAAGAAACAUUUUAAGACUCAUCUUUUUCACCGGAACUUAACCAACUAAUGCUAGCACUUUUCCUUCUUUUCUUGUCUUUCAUAUUAAAAAAAAAAAAAAAAAAAAAAACCUGGCUAUGCGUUCUGUACUAGACUAACUGAGACUUGUCAUGGCACUUGUAUACUGUUGUUGUUCGCUUGUACACCUGACUGCUUCUGUUAUUCUCAUUUGUAAGUGGCUUUGGAUAAAAGCAUCUGUUAAAUGAUUAAAUGUAAAUGUUUAUACAGGACGGUACAGAAAGUGCACAAGUGGGAGAGAGUGGAGGGGACGGCGUCAGAAAGGACCUAGCGCUGGGACACUUUCAAGGAUCACCCGAAGCACAACCACACUGUAUACACUAAGGCUGCUGGUUCUAACAUUUUAGAGUGCCCUGCGGUAGAAAUCUCAUUCUGCAUUCCCCACGGUAAAGAAGACACAGUCCGGGGGGGUUCCCAUUAGAAAUCAACUGGUGGAAGGUUCCCUUCUCGAACUGUUCAACACAUUUUCACUGCACAAAUGUACACAACUCUUGUAAUGAGACACAUUACUAAAACAUGUUUUUGACAGAAACUGUAGUUUUCCACCAAAAUAAAAGAUCCACUGGUUUCAGUCAUAAAGGUACAAGGGUUUGUCUUGUACGUGCUGAAAAAAAUAUGC